rnacentral:rRNA from 1 species
CCUACGGGUGGCAGCAGUGAGGAAUCUUCCGCAAUGGGCGAAAGCCUGACGGAGCGACACCGCGUGGAGGAUGAAACCAUUUUUUGGCGUAAACUCCUGUUCUGAGGGAACAAAUUUUUGAGUGUACCUCAGGAGAAAGCACCGGCUAAUUCCGUGCCAGCAGCCGCGGUAAGACGGAAGGUGCAAGCGUUACUCGGAAUCACUGGGCGUAAAGCGUCUGUAGGUGGAGAAGUAAGUCUGGGGUAAAAGGCGGGGGCUCAACCCCCGUUCUGUCCUAGAAACUGCUUUUCUUGAGCAACUCAGAGGCACCUGGAAUGCUGUGAGUAGGGGUAAAAUCCGUUGAUCCACAGUGGAACGCUAAAAGCGAAAGCAGGGUGCUGGGGGUUUGCUGACACUGAGAGACGAAAGCGUGGGGAGCAAACGGGAUUAGAUACCCCAGUAGUC